GCGCUGGGAAGAGACUGUGCCCCUGCAGCUCCCCUGUCACCGGCUCCAAGGAGCGUCGGGCUCCCCCCGCCCAGCCCUGCAGCACCCAUCCGGCAACGCCAGACUCGGCGCAACGGGGGCAGCUGCGACUUUAAAUCUCUCAGAUCCGCGGCCUGAGGGCUGCCGCCACCGAGAAAUGGAGGCACAGAGCUGUGAACAAGAGACCACGGCUCGCCGAAAUGGCGGUGCCAGGAGCCUGAAAGGGAAUGCAGCCGGCGGGGUUGUCAAGGACAACAUUUGUUUUGGCGCAACCAACGGUGCCGUCACCAAGAAACCGUCGACUCUGAGAAAAAAAGAGAAGUUCGGCUACCGAGAAACUCCGUGCAGCAAGUGCUGUGACAGCAAAACCGCCGGCUCCGCGCCGCUGGCGAAAGAGCCAACGGAAACGCCGGGUGCUGCGAUCGCGACGCCGGCACUAGAGGGCCUCGGAUGGAGAAAGCCCCGCACCGAGACGAGGAAACACUGCACAGCACGACUAGCAGUUGACACAGACAGAAAAGUGUCUCGUCUGCUCUCUGGGAGAAAGCGUGGAUCAAAACCAGCAACUCAGUGGAGGGAACCCCGCAGCCACUGAAGAAGUUGCCCACGUGGCGGUGGGGCCAGAGAAAACACCGCGAUUUCGACGACAGCCGUAGGGAUACGACAGAGAAACAUGCGCGGCCACAGAAGUACAUCCAGCUCCGCGCAAUCAGUGGUUCUGCGAUCCAGAAACCGCCAGCUGGGCUAGACUAGAAACUUCUAAAAAACUGUCGUCCCAUAGCAGCUUUCCUAACCACGACAGACAGUCGCCUUUAGAGAGCACCUAACGGUGCUGAGACCGGCCUGGGCCAGCAAAAGCGCAGAGCGGUGCCGGUGCCAAGAAACGCCCGACUUGGUGAAACCAACCUUGUGACCACCGAUUCCACUGGCUUCGCAGGACGCAACGGGCGAAGGCGCGGCUGAGAAACCGCAGGCUCCCUUCACCGAUUAUGCUGCGGGCUGGGGAUGGUGGGGGGCACCCGCGAAAUUGUGAAACCAGCGGCGCUGGGACCCAGCGAUCAGCUGCCCGUAGCAAAUGUCUGUGCAGUUGCAAAAGAUAACUUUUGGCGGAAAGAAGGUUGCCGCCAGAGAGCAUCCGAUAACGCUGACAAAGGCGUGGCGUUGCUAGUGAGAAACAGCCGGCGCUGGGAAAGGAACGGUGCAGCGACCGACCAACUGCGCGCUCGGUGCCACCAAAGUGCUACUGGCUCUACCCACUCUGUCCCCCACGGGUUUAGGGAAGUCUGAUGUCUUUUUCUUUUUUCCUCUGUCGCCUAGGCUGGUGCAGUGAUGUCAUCUUGGCUCAGUGCAGCCUCGACUUCCUGGGAUCCGAUCCUCCCGCUUCAGCCUCUAGAGUAGCCGAGACCACAGGAUUUGCAAGAGGGCAGGAGAGAAAAAUGAACUGCAAGACUCCAGCACAAGAGGUGGGAUUGCUGGCAGAUGUCUGCUCCCUCUCCAAACCUAAUGAACAUCUCAAAGUGCCAUCCACUUUCCUAUACCCUUGAUCUGUGAAAUGGAUCACUGACGCUUUCUCUGUCUUUCCGGAAAUGCAAAACAGGUGAAUUUUCAAGCGCUUGAAUUGUCUCUCACACUUUUCAGUCAAGAGUGGGGCUAUAAACUCCUUCCUCAUAGGAAAUAAUGAACUGCCACUGCUUGGAAGUAAAACGUAUUUUUCCCAUAAGCUUUCACAUUUCCCCCAAAAAAUUAUACAUCCAGAUGUAAUCCCCCCAAGAGGCUUACAGACCCUACCAGGAGCGUUCCCACGCGAACGCAUCAUCUCCCAAUCGGAUCCUGAAAACACCAUGCAACCAAUUCCAUCCUUUUCUGGAUCAACCUGGGCAGAGGACAGGUGCAGAGGAGCCCAGAGAAGGGCCUUGACAAGUCAGGAGACCCAAUUUGGGGUCGCAAUUGUCACUCACUCCCCAGGCGUUUGCUUUGAUC
rnacentral:sRNA from 1 species